rnacentral:rRNA from 1 species
CCUACGGGAGGCAGCAGUGGGGAAUCUUGCGCAAUGGGCGAAAGCCUGACGCAGCAACGCCGCGUGCGGGAAGAAGGCCUUCGGGUUGUAAACCGCUUUCAGCAGGAACGAAAAUGACGGUACCUGCAGAAGAAGGUGCGGCCAACUAUGUGCCAGCAGCCGCGGUGAUACAUAGGCACCAAGCGUUGUCCGGAUUUAUUGGGCGUAAAGAGCUCGUAGGCGGUUCAGUCAGUCGGGUGUGAAAACUCUGGGCUUAACCCAGAGCCUGCACCCGAUACUGCUGUGACUAGAGUUCGGUAGGGGAGCGGGGAAUUCCUGGUGUAGCGGUGAAAUGCGCAGAUAUCAGGAGGAACACCGAUGGCGAAGGCACCGCUCUGGGCCGAAACUGACGCUGAGGAGCGAAAGCAUGGGUAGCAAACAGGAUUAGAUACCCUGGUAGUCCAUGCCGUAAACGUUGGGCACUAGGUGUGGGUUCCAAUCAACGGAAUCCGCGCCGUCGCUAAACGCAUAGUGCCCGCCGUCGGGAGGUACGGUCGCGACGAACUAAACUACAAUAGAAGUUAGUACGAGCGUGAGACGUCGCCGACGGACGACCGACGAGGGAGGAGG